CAUCCUCCAAGGCUAAAUACUCCUGACUGACCGAUAGUGAACCAGUACCGUGAGGGAAAGGCGAAAAGAACCCCGGCGAGGGGAGUGAAAAAGAACCUGAAACCGUGUACGUACAAGCAGUGGGAGCCUGAUUCGUCAGGUGACUGCGUACCUUUUGUAUAAUGGGUCAGCGACUUAUAUUCUGUAGCAAGGUUAACCGUAUAGGGGAGCCGAAGGGAAACCGAGUCUUAACUGGGCGUUAAGUUGCAGGGUAUAGACCCGAAACC
rnacentral:rRNA from 1 species